rnacentral:rRNA from 1 species
CCUACGGGAGGCAGCAGUGAGGAAUAUUGGUCAAUGGGCGCGAGCCUGAACCAGCCAAGUAGCGUGAAGGAUGACUGCCCUACGGGUUGUAAACUUCUUUUAUAAGGGAAUAAAGUGCGGCACGUGUGCCUUUUUGUAUGUACCUUAUGAAUAAGGAUCGGCUAACUCCGUGCCAGCAGCCGCGGUAAUACGGAGGAUCCGAGCGUUAUCCGGAUUUAUUGGGUUUAAAGGGAGCGUAGAUGGGUUGUUAAGUCAGUUGUGAAAGUUUGUGGCUCAACCGUAAAAUUGCAGUUGAUACUGGCAGCCUUGAGUACAGUUGAGGUAGGCGGAAUUCGUGGUGUAGCGGUGAAAUGCUUAGAUAUCACGAAGAACCCCGAUUGCGACGGCAGCUUGCUAAGCUGCCACUGACACUGAUGCUCGAAAGUGUGGGUAUCAAACAGGAUUAGAUACCCCGGUAGUC